rnacentral:rRNA from 1 species
GUGGGGAAUCUUGCGCAAUGGCCGAAAGGCUGACGCAGCGACGCCGCGUGUGGGAUGAAGCAUUUCGGUGUGUAAACCACUGUUGCCCGGGACGAAUCGCCUUUUUCGAGAGGCUUGACGGUACCGGGUGAGGAAGCACCGGCUAACUCCGUGCCAGCAGCCGCGGUAAUACGGAGGGUGCGAGCGUUGUCCGGAAUCACUGGGCGUAAAGGGCGCGUAGGCGGCGCGGGAAGUCCGUGGUGAAAGCCCGAGGCUCAACUUCGGGUCGGCCAUGGAUACUCCUGGGCUCGAGCACUGUAGAGGCAGGUGGAAUUCCGGGUGUAGCGGUGGAAUGCGUAGAGAUCCGGAAGAACACCGGUGGCGAAGGCGGCCUGCUGGGCAGUAGCUGACGCUGAGGCGCGACAGCGUGGGGAGCAAACAGGAUUAGAUACCCUUGUAGUCC